CUCUUCUUAAAGCACCAACAUUACUUGAGUCUUUGGAUAAAACUGAGAAAAGAGUCUACAAGUAUUGUGAACUCUACAGGAGGCAGGAGGCUGACAACUGGCAGUAAAGACAAAGAUGUCAGGCCUGAGGCCCAGCACUCAAGUGGACCCUGAGAUUGAGCUUUUUGUAAAGGCUGGAAGUGACGGAGAGAGUAUUGGAAACUGUCCCUUUUGCCAACGCCUUUUCAUGAUCCUCUGGCUUAAAGGAGUUAAAUUUAAUGUGACAACUGUUGACAUGACCAGAAAGCCUGAAGAACUGAAGGACUUAGCCCCAGGUACCAAUCCUCCGUUCCUGGUGUAUAACAAGGAGUUGAAAACAGACUUCAUUAAAAUUGAGGAGUUUCUAGAACAAACCCUGGCUCCUCCAAGGUACCCUCACCUGAGUCCCAAGUACAAGGAGUCUUUUGAUGUGGGCUGUAACCUCUUUGCCAAGUUUUCUGCAUACAUUAAGAAUACACAAAAGGAGGCAAAUAAGAAUUUUGAAAAAUCUCUGCUCAAAGAAUUCAAGCGUCUGGAUGACUAUUUAAACACCCCACUUCUGGAUGAAAUUGAUCCAGACAGUGCUGAGGAACCCACAGUUUCCAGAAGACUAUUCUUGGAUGGGGACCAGCUAACACUGGCUGAUUGUAGCUUGUUACCCAAGCUGAACAUUAUUAAAAUAGGGUCUUGCUCUGUCACCCAGGUUGGAGUGCAGUGGCAUGAUCAAGGCUUAUUGCAACCCCCACCUCCAAGGCUCAAGCAGUCCUCCCACCCCACUCUUGAGUAGCUGGGACUACAGGUUGCUGCCAAGAAAUAUCGUGACUUUGACAUUCCAGCAGAAUUCUCAGGAGUCUGGCGUUAUCUCCACAAUGCCUAUGCCCGUG
rnacentral:sRNA from 1 species